rnacentral:miRNA from 2 species
UAUCACAGUACUAUUCCGGGCAU